UACGUAGGGUGGCAAGCGUUGUCCGGAAUUACUGGGCGUAAAGCGUGCGCAGGCGGUUCUCCAAGUCCGUUGUGAAAGCCCCGGGCUCAACCUGGGAAUGGCAGUGGAAACUAGGGGACUGGAAUCUGGCAGAGGGGGGUGGAAUGCCGCGUGUAGCAGUGAAAUGCGUAGAGAUGCGGCGGAACACCGAUGGCGAAGGCAGCCCCCUGGGCUGAGAUUGACGCUCAGGCACGAAAGCGUGGGGAGCAAACAGGAUUGAGAUACCCGUGG
rnacentral:rRNA from 1 species